rnacentral:misc_RNA from 1 species
GGAAGGGGACGGAAUAGGACAAGAGGAUGAAGAGGAUAUGGGAAAGUGUGGGAGUAUUGGGAAACUAAAAUCCCAAUCCAGAACGCAAUAAUAAAAAUCCUGAUAGCCUUUUCUUCUUUUUAGUAACUAUGAAUCAAAGGAAGCCGUACUGAUACGCUAUUCUCUUCAUUUAGAUCACUGCAAGAUUUUCUCUUCCUUCCCUGCUCCAAGGCCACACUAAUCCAUUGCAAGAACCCCGCUCUUUUCCUUUUAGCUCUCUCUCUCUAUCUCUGUCUCUGCUCCACAAACAUACAUUAAACACUCUCAGAUGCAAAGCUUCAAGCAUAUUCCUCACCCUGAAAAGUACUGCCACUCUUCCUUCUCUCUCCGAGGAGAAGAUGGUAACCGAAACCAGACACGUUUUCCGGAUCUUGGAGAUCUUGAUCAACCAGCUGCUGCUUUUCAUCACUAUGAUGCUGUUGAUUUAAGCUCAAGUAUUCUUGUUUCUUCCUCAUCUACUUCCCUCUCUUUCUUUUUCCUGAUAUGUAUAUUUAUAUAUUUAUGAAUAUGAAUCUUUUACGUCUGGAAAGUUCAGUUUCUCUAACUACUUGUGGUAUUUAAAUGGCUUUUGAGGCUCCAUGUUCAGUUUUAAAUGGGGCAAUGUUGCUGUUUUGUCCAAUAACUUGCGAUAUGAUGCUGCCCUAAACACGAAUACUGGGUCUGCAGCGAUAGCAACAACAGGAACAGGGUGUUUGGACACAGGGCAAUACGUAUACCACAAGGGGACAACGUUGGGUUCCUCGUUGGGAAACGGGCAUAGUAUUGACAACUGGGGGGACUCAGGGAUGGCAGAUAGCAGCCAACAGACUGACACUUCUACAGAUGUUGAUGCUGAUGAUAGAAACCAGCUUCAUGGAGUCCAGCAUGGUCCUAUUGCGGUUGUGGAUUCCAUGGAUCAAUCCAAGGCAAAAGCUGGUGAUCAAAAGACUCUUCGAAGGCUGGCUCAGAAUCGUGAGGCUGCAAGGAAGAGUCGACUUAGGAAGAAAGCUUAUGUCCAGCAGCUCGAGAAUAGUCGACUCAGGCUUACACAAUUAGAGCAAGAGCUUCAAAGUGCUCGGCAGCAGAAUAUUUUUUUGGCAAGUGGAUUUUCAGGGAACCAUGGGGCUGGAUGUGGGGUUGUUGCAUUUGACAUGGACUAUGCACGGUGGCUUGAGGAACAUCAACGGUUGAUCAGUGAUCUAAGAGCAGCUGUCAAUUCUCAUAUGGGUGAUAAUGAAUUACACCUCCUUGUUACUGGUGUAAUGGCACAUUAUGAUGACAUAUUCCGGCUAAAGAGCAUUGGCACAAAGGCUGAUGUAUUCCACAUGCUUUCAGGCAUGUGGAUGACACCUGCUGAGAGGUGUUUCAUGUGGCUGGGUGGAUUCAGAUCUUCUGAGCUUCUUAAGAUACUUGGGAACCACAUUGAACCCUUGACAGAUCAACAGUUAAUGGGCAUAUGCAAUCUGCAACAGUCCUCCCAACAGGCUGAAGAUGCCUUGUCUCAAGGAAUGGAAGCUCUGCAACAAUCCCUUGCAGACACGCUUUCAUCCAACUCUCUGGGCUUUACUACUUCUGGAAAUGCGUCCGACUACAUGGGCCAAAUGGCAAUUGCAAUGGGCAAGCUUGCAACACUAGAGAACUUCCUUCACCAAGUAACAUCAUUUAGUGUAAUCAUGAUUAAAAUUCUUCACUUUAGAUUAUUGUCACAUCAUCAUUAUGAUAAUGAAUUGACUAAGAAUGCUGCAAUUUGUGUUGUAUCUAUUGCCAGGCUGAUCUUUUAAGGCAGCAAACUCUGCAACAAAUGCAUCGAAUUUUGACAACAAGUCAGGCUGCUAGAGCCCUUCUUGUUUUCAGUGAUUACACUUCGCGACUCCGGGCACUCAGCUCCUUAUGGCUAGCACGCCCUAGAGAUUGACAAUUCUCCCUAGCUAAUUGCUCCAGGGAUUUUCCAAUGCAGUAAAAGAUUAAUCUAUUUAUCCUCCAGGGAUACUCAGAAAAUGAUGACCUAACAUCAUUGGAACUGUUCUUUGACAGCCUUAUUUUACUUCUAAUUUGUCAAACCUGAAGUUCGGCAUCUUAUGGAAAUGACUCCAUUUAGAAUUACCAUGCUGAGUAGCAUCUUGAGGGUAGUUAGGGAUAGUAACCUUACAUAUGUAACCAACGCUUGUCCUCCUAGCUGUGGAUGGGACAAAAUUGACAAACCUCAUGAUCUGUCACUGAUCUGACAUGUUACAGUGUGCUAACAGGCACCUAAAUCAACCUUUUGGCUGUUCUCAAAAUCAGUGGUUCUGCUAGGAAUUCAUAAAGGUAUCAUUGUUAAAACAUUUCUGUCGACAUGCAUAUUUUUAGACUCUUUACAAGUCUGUCUAAGAGUAAUUUGAAACAGUUAUAUUUAGAUCUAUAAUUGGUGUAAUCGGUUUAUAUUCUUUACAUUACAAGGUACAAUUUCAUGUUAUGUUGAACAAUGUAAUGGCAUUUUGUUUAAUGACUAAAGGGCCACUUGCUU